UUUAAUCUUCAGGGCGGGGUGAAAGUCCCCACCGGCGGUAAAGCCCGCGAACCGUAAGGUUGAUUCGGUGAAAUUCCGAAGCCGACAGUCACAGUCUGGAUGGAAGAAGAUAUAU
rnacentral:ncRNA from 2 species